rnacentral:lncRNA from 1 species
UUUUUUUUUUUUUAAAAGCCAUGUAUGGUGGCUCACUCCUGCAAGGCUGCAAGGUUACCUAAGACAGGACGGUCACUAAGGAGGAGGACAGCCUGGUUUAUAUGGUAAAUUGCUGGCCAGCCUGAACCACAGGGUCAGUCCUCAUCUCAACAAAACAAAACAGAAGGAGGUGGGGUAGAGAGGGGAGGAGAAAGGAGACUCACUGCAGAGGACCAUGUGUCUAAGCCUAGCACUUAGGAAGAAGGUGAGACCCUGGAUAAGGGGGGAAAGUCGGGCGUGGUAGUGCUUUAAUAAUAGCACUUGAAGAGGCAGAGGGAUGGAUCUCUGAGUUCAAUGACAGCCUGGUCUACACAGUAAGUUCCAGUUCAGCCAGAGAUAUGGAGUGAGAACCUGUCUCAAAACAAACAGACAGACAAGAUAAGGAAGAAACCAGGCAGAAACGAAGUAGUUAAAACUUCUAGAUCAGAACCUGGUAAUGGUGGUGCACGCCUUUAAUUCCAGUGCUUGGGGGACAGAGGCAGGUGGGGCUGAAGCCUGAAAGUCUUCUGAUUUUAUUCCCUCUCAGACGGAACCAGUCUCUCAGAAGGAUAUUUUAAAACCUAACCACGAAUAAAAUAUUGAGGUACAGAAGGCAAAGAACGGCAUUUACGUUUCCCCAAAGGAAAUGUUUCCAGAAAAUUCAAAUGUGCAUGAACAUUGCCAAGGCAUUCAUUCCAUGAUGGCAUUUGUUUAAUUAUUUGAUUUCUUAAGAUGCAGUCUGGUGUAGCUCAAGCUGGCUUAGAACUAGCUGUGUAUCUGAGGAUAACUUUGAAGUCCUGAUCCUCUCACCUCCAUCUCCCGAGUUCUGAGCUUUGAGGUGUGCACCACUACAACUGGCAUCUUGUAAUAGCUCAUUUCCCCCUAGUUUUAAAAGAGACUUUCUGCAACCUUACUGGAUAAAAAGUAGCCCAACCCUGAUAAGUGCCAGCCAAUGCUGAAGCAAGUGAUUCCAGGAAAGAACUUCUCUCCAUGCCCUUGAGAAAAUAUAAACUUAAAAGAACCCAACGACCAGAUCAUCACAAAACUACCCUCAUCAAUUUAAAAAAAAAAAAAAAAACAACAAAAAAAUACAGAAACAAAAAACUUAAAAGACAGAGGCUCCUGUCACCCAAGAUCUCAAUGCGGCACACUGUGUACUGCGUCUAUCCCUAAGACCCAAGGGAAAGUGUCACAAAACACAAAAAAGCGAAGCUCCAGGAAGGAUGAGGGAGGAGCAAGGGGGUGGGUCAUGCACUGUGCCAGAGCAGGAGAUGCUGCUGAGCGCGGCUGCGGGCCGUGGGGAAGGGAUGUCUCGGGUGCUCCGCAGGGGCAUGGUUGGUCGGGCUGCACUCACAAAACGCUGGUAGAAGCGGACCAGCCGCGGUUUCCCAUGGUUGUUGAAAACCAGAAUCGCCUGAAUCAUCUUUACCGGUCCCGCUUCUCUCGGCACCAGCGGCUCCAAGAAUGCACCUUCUUCCGGCACAACA